GUGUGUGUGUCGUGCUGCCAGACGGUCGCUGUCUGGGCAAGGCCACUGUCACCUAUGGGUCCUUACCGUCCUGCACUGGGCUAAUACCAAGCACUACCUGGGCUAGUGGGAAGAGGAAGAUCAAGGUCCAAGGGUUCCAUCUGGAGUUUGUGGAGGGGGUUGUUCAUGACCACGCCCCUCAGACCAUCCAUACCAACUACAGCUCUGAGACUCUGUGGUACCACACACCUCUCUUUGAACACAUUAACCAGCCAGUCACCUCCACUGUCUCUCUGAGAGUGGCCAAUCAGACACUGGCCUGCUCAUCACAGCUCACCUACCAUCCCGACCCAGAAUUCACCAG